ACGGUCGCGGCGCAGUGGGACCCCCCUCUCCGACCGCUUCUACCGCCGCUUCACGCCGUACUCACCUUCUCCCCUCGUCCGCCCCGGCACCCAUCUCCCGCUCCACUGCCUCCUCCUCCGGCGUCUGCGGUGCCGUGAUCGGCCGCCUCGACCUCUCCACCCACAUCGUCGCCGCGGCGCCCUUCGGCGGUCCGAUCGCCGCCGUCCGCGACGAUUCUAUGAUCGUGCAGCUCUACUCCGAGCCCUCCCGGCGCCGCCGCUUCUUCCUCUCCUCAUCGGGCCAACCCAUCGCUUCCGCGCCCUGGCCGCCCCUGCUCCCCGACUCCACUCGCUCUCCUUCUCCAGCUCCCACAGCCUCAUCGCCCUCCUCUCAGAUGGCUCUACUCGGCUUCCGCCUUCCGUAUCUGCAGUCCAACACUAGCUCCAGCCUCCAGCCCCGUGCCCCUACUCCCGCCGGCCUCUGGCGGCGUCGCCGACGCUGAAUUCUGGGGCGGAGGUGUAGCCAUCCUCAAAGUGGACAUCCGCGUUGUGGUCGCCACGGACAUCGAGGCUGCCGAUCCUAACCCCCGUGACCUCGCCGACCCAGGCGUCGGUGAUGAGGACUUGAGGAGCAUGACAGUGGUGGAGCAGUUUUUCAUGUCAGGGAGCCCAGAGGUGCUGCUUGCAGUUGGUGACCGGGUGAUCGCGGUAGAUAAGGGGCAUACCUAGAUAAGGAUGGCCUGCAAGUGCUCGAAGAGGAGCUUGAAAUUGGACCCGUGCAGAAGAUCACUAUGACAGGCAAAUUGCUCCGGCGGUGGUGCGCUGCUGGUGAAGCUGCGCGCGUGUGGGUGACGCUGAUACUGGCAUCCCCACAUGACACAAACCUUUUAUAGGAGGUUGUGAUAAUGCAUUGGGCAUGUGAGAAGUUUACAGCAUCAGCAACUAUUCCGGAUACAGUCCUUCUUGAGGGUUUGCUUGAUAAGCUCAGGUUACGUAAAGGGAUAUCAUAUGCUGCAGUAGCAGCUCAUGCAGAUAAUUGUGACUGGCGAAGGUUGGCUGCAAUGCUCGUUGAUCAUGAAUUACAAUCCUCAAAGCAGAUUCCCAUGUUGCUAAGCAUUGAUGAACAAGACAAAACAUUAUCAAAAGCAAUUGAAAGCAGUGAUACUGAUCUUGUGUAUCUUGUGCUCUUACAUAUCUGGCAGAAGGUAGCUGUAGAGAAGAAGGCGCCUUUGGAUUUUUCAGUGUAAUUAAUGUGAGGCCUGCGGCUAGAGAUUUGUUUAUGGCAUAUGCAAAACAUUCUUAGCAUGAAGCCUUGAAGGACUUCUUUUUGUCGACUGGGAGACUUCAAGAUGCCGCCUUUCUUUUGUUGAAGGAAUCGAGGGAAUUGGAGAAGAAUCCUAUGGCAAGCAAGGGAACUCCUCUCUAUGGUCUGCAAGUGAGGCUCAUUGAGCAGGCCCAUAGACUCUUUGCUGAGACCAAGGAACAUGUUUUUGAAUCCAGAGCUUCUGAAGAGCCAUGGCAAAUUGCUAAGAUCACAGCAUGAGCUUGAAGUUUCCACAAAGCAGGCGAUAUUUGUGGGUUCUAGUGUUAGUGAUACAAUACAAACCUGUAUUGCAAUGGGAAAUGAGCAAGCUACACUCAAAGUGAAGUCAGAAUUCAAGGUUCCUGGUAAGAGGUGGUACUGGCUUAAAACAUGUGCUGCUUUGGAAAAGUUUUCAAGAGAGAAAAGGCCACCAGGAGGCUAUAAACCUUUUGUGGAAGCAUGCACUGAUACUGGUCAAAAAACUGAAGCUCUCAAAUAUAUUCCAAAGCUAACAGAUCCUCGUGAAAGAUCUGAGGUAGAAGCAAUGACACGAGUGACGUACAGAUUUUGUUCCCAAGCAUCUGUGCGUCAGUCUAUCUCUUUUUGUGCUGAAUUUUGGAAAGGAGAAGAAAGAAGGCCAAAAGAAUAUGACAGAUCAAGGCAAGGGAGCGCCGAUGAAGAUGGUUGCGUGGAUUGAUAAAAAAAAGGUUGCGUGGAUUGAUAAAAAAAUGUUGCGGGGACCGCGUGAACGAGGGGCGGAGGAACCGAUGGAGGGUGCAGCAUGGCGUACGGUAGAAUAGUAUUAUCGUGGACCUGGUUCGGCGCGGUGCAGUCGAGAACAUGUGAGGCCGACUGGCCGAGGCGGGACCGCGGGUGUGCUGGUAAAGUUAAAGAAGAGGCGUGGUCGGCAGGCGCCUCCAAAGUCGAGAGAAAGGCACGGACGAAUGUGGACAGCAUAUGGGCCAAGUGGGUGGUGGGCGGGCCGGAGCAUGGCAUUGAUUACCCGCUAUUGUCGGGUAGAGCGCAUUUGACGCGUGAUCCAGGCUGGGUAUUUAAUUUCCUUAAUCCCUUAUAAAAUAUGGAAACUAGUGAACCCCUAAUUUAAUGGGAGGCUCCUCUCGUCGGCUACUAAUAGGGAGCCGUGAUGGACUCUUUCUUCUCUGCCCCUUACUCGUUCCCCAACCAUACCAUGUUCGCCGCCUCAUCUUCUUCCCCAAAGGAAGGAGAGACUCCAACACUCGCAUGGGUGUUCCCGACCAUGGGCUCUAUGUCUCUCCGUGUUCAUGGUCAUGGGGUCUAUCGCUCCGUGUUCAUGGCAGGUCAGGCCGGUUCUACCUUACGGGUUUGUUCGCCUCCGCAAGGGGAUUGGGGGGAUUGAAGGGGGUUUGGGGCGAUUAAAUCCCUGGAUCCCUUCCAAUCCCACCCAAUCCUCUUCGAUCCCCACGGAACAUGGUAAACCCUCUUUGCCUAUCCUGCUCUUUCUCUCUCGCGCGCGCGGAUUAAGUCUUUUCCGAGUCAAGAUCCCCUCAGUUCCUUUGCAGAGGGGAUUAACUGAACAAAUCCUAUUGUUGUCAAUCUUAAUUGUGUUUAUGAUUUUAUGAUUUUUCUGUUUAGGAUCGAGUGUCAUGAAUGAGCAAACAAAUCCUAUUGUUGUCAAUCUUAAUUGUGUUUAUGAUUUUAUGAUUUUUCUGUUUAGGAUCGAGUGUCAUGAAUGAGCAAGUAUCUACGAUUUUUUUAUGAAGCUCAGUGCCCCGCCUCCGCCGCCGUCUUCUCCUCACCCGCUGCCGCCGGCCACCGCCCAUCGGGGGUCCUGCCCAACCGGCAGCGAGCGCCGCCUCGCCCUCCGCCGACGGUUACGGUUCGCCUAUCCUCCGCUGCCCCCGGCCCAGCUGCUCUCUGAUUCGUGUUUUCUUGGGCAUGGGCUGAAAUCGGCCACGACACCCUCUCGGGCUGAAAAUCCAGUCAUCACCCUCUCGGGCAAUCCACGGGGCCACUCAUCGCCCUAGGAUCUAAGGCUCCGUUUGGAUGUAGACAUUGGAAGUCUUGGUAUUGAAUUGAGCUCAAUACCAAAUCAGACCAGCUUUGGUAUUGGGCCGAAUACCAAAGCUAUUGUUUGGAUGGAGAUGAAAUUGUAAGAUGGAAUUCGAUGAGAUAGCAAAUACCAAUUCGUGUUUGGAUGUCCAUACCGUCAAAUUGAGAAUUGGUACAUCAUCCUCCUCCGUGUGCAGCCGCUGUGCCCCUUCCUGCUCCGCGUAGCCGUUGCCUCGAGCGCCCCAUUCUCCUGUGUCGAAGAGGAGAGGACGCCGGCCAUGGAGAGGGGAGCGGCGCGGCCAUUGGAAGGGGCGCAGCACCCAGAGGGAGGGGUCCAGAGGAGGAGGAAGGGAGGUGGGCGGCGCGGCUCUCCAGCGGAGAGCGAGGGAAGGUGGCGCGCGCAGCUAUCCAGCGGAGAGGGAGGGGAGGAGGCGGCGCGGCUCUCCAUGGAGGAGGCCGGGGAGGGUAGGGGUGGCACAGUUCGCCGAUGGAGGAGGCGGAAGAGAGGAGGGGUGGCACAGUUCGCCGGUGGAGGGGGGAAAGGAGGGGGUGGCGCAGUUCGCCGGCGGAGGAGGUCGGGGAGAGGAGGGGCGGCGCAGUUCACCAGCGGAGGAUGCAGGGGAGAGACAGCAUGGUUUGCCGGCGGAGAAGGCAGGGGAGAGGAGGGACAGCGCGGUUCGCCGGUGGAGGAGGCAGGGGAGAGGAGGGGCGGCACGAUUCACCGGGGGAUGGGGGGGAGGGGAGGGGCGGCGCGGGUGACAGGGGUCGGGCCGCCACCGCAUCUGACGGAGGGAGCGAGGGAGUUGAGCCCGCGAGUGGGGAAUCGCGGAAGAGACCGAUUCAGCGCAAAACCGAGGGGAGUGGCUUGGUAUUGAGAUGAAGGGGAUGCAGGUGCGGUGAAUACCGCUUGGUAUUGAUGUCGAAUUCCAAUGCUAAUUCCAGGACCAGCCAAACAACUGAUAUUGGAUGAACUCAAUGCCAAUUCCGAAUUCCAGGCUUCAAUAUCUACAUCCAAACCUAAGGGGUUUUAGAUCCAACGGCUUGAGUCACGUUAUAUAUGACCUGACGAACGAACAGCCGCCGCCUGAUGAACGAACAGCCGCCGCCACCCCCACCCUACCAGUCGAACGCUCCGGCCCGUAGAUCUCAAACUCUCUCCGAUGAUGGACGCCGCCGCCGUCGCCCGUGCCAAUCGCCGAGCUUUUCGUGUUAUACGCCGUCGCGCUGCCCGCCUGGCCCGCUGCCCACCCCUCGUACUGCUUCCUGAGCAGGUUUGUUCAUGCUAUCUCUAGGCUCCCUCUGAUCUGAUUCAUAUGCUCUAGUUUCUGACCUUCGAACCUCUUGUUUUAGUCAGGCGAUUGGUGAUUUGGGUAGCUCUGAUUCAUAUGUCCUUCGAUUUCUUAGGUUUAAUGCAGCGUUUUGUUGGUCUGGGUACCUGUGAGUCAUAUCCCGUUCGACCUCCUAGAUUUAUUGCGACGAUUUGUUUGUUUUGCUAGCUCUGUUACAUGUAUGGGUAUUUCAGAUUCAUAUAUCGUUUCAUCUCUUUGGUUUAUUGCAGCUGUUUGGUGUCAUGGGUACCUCUGAUUCAUAUCCGAUCCUAUUCGCGCUUCUAGUUUUGUAGCUGCGAUUUGUUGGUGUGUCAUAUGUUGAUAUCGUUUCAUGAUUUUGACUGCAAUUUGUUUUUAUAUUAGGUUCACUAUAGCUCUCAAUUAUUGUUAUAUUAUGUACUGUAUAGUUCUCAAUUAUUGUUUUCUGAUCUUGAUUCAUCGAUUUUUCUAAUUUCUCCACUGUCAGUUCGACUGGCCGGCUGGGUUCAACCCAGGCAGCGGUGCGCUACUCGCAAUCAAUGAAGACCUGGCGAAAUCCUAUGACGCUCUUGCAUACGUUGCAAACAACGUUCUGAACAUGCAGCACACAAGGACUGCCCUAAGGGGUGUCCUGGACAUGAAGUCUUGGGGAAAAGCGACACAGUGCCUGUGGAAAGUACUGGAGGACAUGCGUGAUGAGGCGCUUCUCAAACUCGCCAAGUGUGAAAAGGACUACAACAGAGAUUCUACCCAUGCCCCGUGUUCUGCGUGAAAGGCUGCUCUCCAUCCUGGGGAAAGAGAAGGAGAAGGAGAAGGAGAAGGAGAGAAAGGAUAGGAUGUGAGAAAGAGAGUCGAUGCCCAGUGUUCUUCGUGAUAUGCUGUUAGCCAUUCUGAAGAAAGAGAGAAAGGAUGCCAGUCCAUCUCCAUCAUAUUCACUAGAGUAAAUGUUUUGGAGUUCUAUUAGAACCGAUGCUAAGAUUCUCCAAACUUUCUUCCACCUGAGAAAUCUGCUCCGCUAUAGCUCUAAUGAAUUGUCUAAAUUUUAA